AUUGUCAGGAGAGAUGACAUCACAGGAAAACCACCAACCAGGGCCAAAGAGAACAGAGCUCAGCCCCCUGGCCCAGAGCAGCCCAGGACCCUGACACCAUCUUGUCCUGACUCUACCAUGGGCGGCAGGCUGCUGUGCUGUGUGGUCCUCUGUCUCCUGGGAGCAGUCCCCAUGGACACUGGAGUUACCCAGACGCCAAGACACCUGGUCAUGGGAAUGACAGAUAAGAAGUCUUUGGAGUGUGGACAAAAUCUGGAACACAAUGCUAUGUACUGGUAUAAACAGAGUGCUAAGAAGGCACUAGAGCCUUUGUUUAUCUUCAACUAUAAGAAACUCUAUGAAAAUGUGACUGUGCCGAGUCGCUUCACACCUGAAUACCAGGACAACGCUCACUUUUACCUUCACCUGGACGCCCUGCAGCCAGAAGACUCCGCCACGUACCUCUGUGCCAGCAGCCAAGACACAGCGUUGCAGAGUCACCCCCUCCCUGUGCACAAACCUUCGGGCCCAGCCAGGAAGCUGUGGGAGCCACCGAGGGUUUUGCUGAGCAUUUCUUGUGAGAAACCCUACAGAAGUUUGAGUUCGUGGCACCAGCCGCUCUCAUUCAACCCACGCGGUGACUUUCAUUCUGAGCACAUGUUUACCCAAAACAUGUGUUUCACCUCUAAGCGGAGGCAAGCUUAUAGAGAGGAGAUGAGGCAUUUUAAAGAUCCUCAGCUGGAAAUUUUCCAGAAGGUGAAGGCUCUGGAUAGCAGAGCCUAA